AGUAGUGUACAGGUGAGCAUAAAGUAUUUUCGCUACCUAAGAGUGAGGUUAAAUACCUUAUACUGAAAGGAAAUAAUUUCCGCUUUUAGUUGAUUAUAAAUAUUUCGGAUAAGAUGAAGUAAAGGUAAUGGCUUCACUGACUAGUAUCCGUAGUCGUAACUGAGAGGUUGAUCGAUCACAUUGGGUCUGAAAAAACCCCAAUGCAUAAAUUGUACAGCAGUGAGGAAUUUUGGUCAAUGGCCUAACGGCUGAACCAGCAACUUGGAGGAACGUAUUUGGACUAUGUCUUAUAAAGUUCUAGGUAAAAAGUUGAUAAUGACAGCUUUUUAUCUAUAUGUCUCGACAAAAUCUUGUGCCAGCAGUCGCGGCAAGACAAGGGAGCCUAGUGUUAUUCAUCUUUAUUAGGUUUAAAGGGUACCUAGACUGUAAUUCUAGCCGUAGUAGGUACUGUUUUACUAGAGUUUGGAUAUAGGGAGGCACGAACAAUUGGUGGAGAGAUGAAAUUCUUUUAUACCUUUCGAACGGGUAAAGGUGAAAACAACCUCUUAUGUAAAAACUGACGUUGAGGGACGAAGGCUUGGGGAGCAAACAGGAUUAGAUACCCCAGUAGUCCUUGCAGAGAAUGAUGAGUGUCAUAAAUUAUCCUAUGGGUAGUAUAUAAAUGAAAGUGUAAGCACUCCACCUCAAGAGUAAUGUGGCAACGCUGGAACUGAAAUCAUUAGACCGUGUUUGAAACCAGUAGUGAAGUAUGUUAUUUAAUUCGAUAAUCCUCGAAAAACCUUACCACAAUUUGUAUACCACUAACUAUUUAAGGUAAUAGCAAGCGCCACGGCGUUUGCUAAAGUAAAGAUUUAGUUAGCGCCGCGGAGUUUGCUAAAGCGAAAAGAUAGUUUCUGGUACAAGCGUUGCACGGCUGUCUUCAGUUAAUGUCGUGAGAUUUUGGUUAGAUCCAUUAAAUUAACGUAAACCCUUGUUCUUGUUUUAACAAGUUCAGUUCUCCGUUAUAUUGGGAUAUGAUAACAGGACUA
rnacentral:rRNA from 1 species